rnacentral:rRNA from 1 species
AGUGGGGGAUAACGUAGCGAAAGUUACGCUAAUACCGCAUAUGCCCUGAGGGGGAAAGGUGGGGAUCGCAAGACCUAUCGCUUUCGGAGUGGCCGAUAUCAGAUUAGCUAGUUGGUGAGGUAAAGGCUCACCAAGGCGACGAUCUGUAGCUGGUCUGAGAGGACGACCAGCCACACUGGGACUGAGACACGGCCCAGACUCCUACGGGAGGCAGCAGUGGGGAAUUUUGGACAAUGGGGGCAACCCUGAUCCAGCCAUGCCGCGUGAGUGAAGAAGGCCUUCGGGUUGUAAAGCUCUUUCGGACAGAAAGAAAUCGCACUUACUAAUACUAGGUGUGGAUGACGGUACUGUAAGAAGAAGCACCGGCUAACUACGUGCCAGCAGCCGCGGUAAUACGUAGGGUGCGAGCGUUAAUCGGAAUUACUGGGCGUAAAGCGUGCGCAGGCGGUUUUGUAAGACAGGUGUGAAAUCCCCGGGCUUAACCUGGGAACUGCAUUUGUGACUGCAAGGCUAGAGUAUGGCAGAGGGGGGUAGAAUUCCA